rnacentral:rRNA from 1 species
UACGGGGGGGGGCAAGCGGUUGUUCGGAAUUCUGGGCGUAAAGGGGUUCGUAGGUGGCCAACUAAGAUCAGACGUGAAAUCCCUCAGCUUAACUGGGGAACUGCGUCUGAGACUGGAUGGCUUGAGUGCAGGAGAGGAACGCGGAAUUCCAGGUGUAGCGGUGAAAUGCGUAGAUAUCUGGAGGAACACCGGUGGCGAAGGCAGUCCCCUGGGCCUGCACUGACGCUCAUGCACGAAAGCGUGGGGAGCAAACAGG